rnacentral:rRNA from 1 species
GUCCAUGCCGUAAACGUUGGGAACUAGAUGUAGGGACCAUUCCACGGUUUCUGUGUCGCAGCUAACGCAUUAAGUUCCCCGCCUGGGGAGUACGGCCGCAAGGCUAAAACUCAAAGGAAUUGACGGGGGCCCGCACAAGCGGCGGAGCAUGCGGAUUAAUUCGAUGCAACGCGAAGAACCUUACCAAGGCUUGACAUAUACCGGAAAAGUUCAGAAAUGUUCUCCCCGCAAGGUCGGUAUACAGGUGGUGCAUGGUUGUCGU